UUACUUUUCGGUAAUAAAUAUCAAACAGGUUGACUCGUCUCCUUAUCUCCACUCUCAAAUCUUUGGCAUAACCUUACUUGUUACUACACCUUAUCCUUUUCAAAGCACCUCAUAUCAAGAGAGCUUUUAACCAUGUCUGGCUCUGCUUCUUCCCUUUCUCUAUCUUCAUUCAAUCCUAAAUCUCUUCCUCCUCCAUCUUUCCAGGUCCGCCUCCGUCUUACCUCCUUCCCUCUCCUUCAAACUCC
rnacentral:lncRNA from 1 species